rnacentral:rRNA from 1 species
GCGCCAGCAGCCGCGGUAAUACGAAGGGUGCAAGCGUUACUCGGAAUUACUGGGCGUAAAGCGUGCGUAGGUGGUUCGUUAAGUCCGAUGUGAAAGCCCUGGGCUCAACCUGGGAAUGGCAUUGGAUACUGGCGGGCUAGAGUGCGGUAGAGGGCAGUGGAAUUCCCGGCGUAGCAGUGAAAUGCGUAGAGAUCGGGAGGAACAUCUGUGGCGAAGGCGACUGCAUGGACCAGCACUGACACUGAGGCACGAAAGCGUGGGGAGCAAACAGGAUUAGAAACCCGCGUAGUCC